GGCAUACCAAAAUGUGUCUGGAAUUGGUGGGUUCUUGGUCUUACUGACUUUAAGAAUAAAGUUGCAGACUUUUGUGCUAAAAGAAAAUGCAUUCUGCCAACAACUAAUGAGCUUGGAAGAGAACUCCAAACCCCAGAAGAGGCCUGUCACAUUAGCUAACACCUUACUUUCCACCCACUGAGACCUUGAGCAGAGACUUCAGUUACACCCCACCCAGACUUCUGACCUGCAAAACUCUCCAGAGGGAAGUGAGAAGGAUGUUCACUUGCUGGUGAGAGAAGGAGCUGGUUCCAUCCAUUAUGCAGUCCCCUGGGAGCGCUAAAUGCAACUUUAUCUCAACGGGGAGUGGACGAUGAGCAGGACGUCGCUAGAGGGAAAGAGCCUCACUUCCCGUUUCCUUUGGCAGCGCCCUUUUCCCGACCUAAGGGAGCAGACCUUCGUUGGUUGGCGUGAGGACUGGCGGGAGAGGUUUUGUGCGAGGAUCCGCACUG
rnacentral:antisense_RNA from 1 species